UACGUAGGGUGCGAGCGUUAAUCGGAAUUACUGGGCGUAAAGCGUGCGUAGGCGGUUCGUUAUGUCUGCUGUGAAAGCCCCGGGCUUAACCUGGGAAUGGCAGUGGAAACUGGCGGGCUUGAGUGUGGCAGAGGGGGGUGGAAUUCCGCGUGUAGCAGUGAAAUGCGUAGAGAUGUGGAGGAACACCGAUGGCGAAGGCAGCCCCCUGGGUCAAGACUGACGCUCAUGCACGAAAGCGUGGGGAGCAAACGGG
rnacentral:rRNA from 1 species